UACGUAGGUGGCAAGCGUUGUCCGGAGUUAUUGGGCGUAAAGCGCGCGCAGGCGGUGCGGUAAGUCUCUGGUGAAAGCGCUCGGCUUAACUGGGCGAGGGCCGGGGAGACUGCCACGCUGGAGGGGAGCAGAGGCGAGUGGAAUUCCGGGUGUAGUGGUGAAAUGCGUAGAGAUCCGGAGGAGCACCAGUGGCGAAGGCGGCUCGCUGGGCUCUACCUGACGCUGAGGCGCGAAAGCGUGGGGAGCGAACCGG
rnacentral:rRNA from 1 species